UACGUAGGGUGCAGGCGUUAAUCGGAAUUACUGGGCGUAAAGCGUGCGCAGGCGGUCUUUUUAAGUCAGAUGUGAAAUCCCCGGGCUUAACCUGGGAACUGCGUUUGAAACUGGAAGGCUAGAGUGUGGCAGAGGGGGGUGGAAUUCCACGUGUAGCAGUGAAAUGCGUAGAUAUGUGGAGGAACACCGAUGGCGAAGGCAGCCCCCUGGGCUAACACUGACGCUCAUGCACGAAAGCGUGGGGAGCGAACAGG
rnacentral:rRNA from 1 species